UUAAUUUGAUGUUCGUUUAAAAAUCGAUUCGGUACAGCUCACGUGCUGUGAAUCGGAGAUCGUAUACCUAUAUGGAGCACGAGACAAAGAUGGAGUAAAAAGGACAGACAAAGAGCUAUGCGUCGUUUAUCUCUACACGUGACAUACGUAUUGCUAUUGCAUUACAUUAUACCUACAUGUAUACGCUGCGUAUAUCGUAUAUCUUUCGGAGCUUCAACAAGUUUGUAACGCGUGCACUGCACCAUUAUCAGAAUGAUACGUGAAUAUCCGGGAAUAGGUGAACUCGGGGGUGAACCCAUGACGAGGAUUGCGCUACCUUUUCUAUCUUUGAUCAGCUGUUUCGAAGCUCUGUGCAGUGCGUCCAGUAUACUAGGAUCAUUUGGCUGUAGACUGAGCGCUUUACAGUAGGAAUGAAUAGCUGCAUUGAAUCGGAAAGUUUGUGACUCCACUUCCGCCUUGCGGUAAUAUCCCUGAAACAAAAAGAAACAAUGCAUAAUCAACAACGAUUUUACAAUAAAAUAACAAUCAUAUCGUAGUGAAACUAAAAUGGUUUUGUAUCUGAAAGUAUACGAAUAAAUUAUAGCCUUGGGGUUUUCAAAUUGUUCCAGAAUAA